UUAAGCGACUAAGCGUACACGGUGGAUGCCCUGGCAGUCAGAGGCGAUGAAGGGCGUGCUAAUCUGCGAUAAGCGCCGGUAAGGUGAUAUGAACCGUUAUAACCGGCGAUACCCGAAUGGGGAAACCCAGUGUGACUCGUCACACUAUCAUUAACUGAAUCCAUAGGUUAAUGAGGCGAACCGGGGGAACUGAAACAUCUAAGUACCCCGAGGAAAAGAAAUCAACCGAGAUUCCCCCAGUAGCGGCGAGCGAACGGGGAGGAGCCCAGAGCCUGAAUCAGCAUGUGUGUUAGUGGAAGCGUCUGGAAAGGCGCGCGAUACAGGGUGACAGCCCCGUACACAAAAGCGCAUGUGCUGUGAGCUCGAUGAGUAGGGCGGGACACGUGGUAUCCUGUCUGAAUAUGGGGGGACCAUCCUCCAAGGCUAAAUACUCCUGACUGACCGAUAGUGAACCAGUACCGUGAGGGAAAGGCGAAAAGAACCCCGGCGAGGGGAGUGAAAAAGAACCUGAAACCGUGUACGUACAAGCAGUGGGAGCACCCUUUUGGGGUGUGACUGCGUACCUUUUGUAUAAUGGGUCAGCGACUUAUAUUCUGUAGCAAGGUUAACCGUAUAGGGGAGCCGUAGGGAAACCGAGUCUUAACCGGGCGUUAAGUUGCAGGGUAUUAGACCCGAAACCCGGUGAUCUAGCCAUGGGCAGGUUGAAGGUUGGGUAACACUAACUGGAGGACCGAACCGACUAAUGUUGAAAAAUUAGCGGAUGACCUGUGGCUGGGGGUGAAAGGCCAAUCAAACCGGGAGAUAGCUGGUUCUCCCCGAAAGCUAUUUAGGUAGCGCCUCGUGAAUUCAUCUCCGGGGGUAGAGCACUGUUUCGGCUAGGGGGCCAUCCCGGCUUACCAACCCGAUGCAAACUGCGAAUACCGGAGAAUGUUAUCACGGGAGACACACGGCGGGUGCUAACGUCCGUCGUGAAGAGGGAAACAACCCAGACCGCCAGCUAAGGUCCCAAAGUCAUGGUUAAGUGGGAAACGAUGUGGGAAGGCCCAGACAGCCAGGAUGUUGGCUUAGAAGCAGCCAUCAUUUAAAGAAAGCGUAAUAGCUCACUGGUCGAGUCGGCCUGCGCGGAAGAUGUAACGGGGCUAAACCAUGCACCGAAGCUGCGGCAGCGACACUAUGUGUUGUUGGGUAGGGGAGCGUUCUGUAAGCCUGUGAAGGUGUGCUGUGAGGCAUGCUGGAGGUAUCAGAAGUGCGAAUGCUGACAUAAGUAACGAUAAAGCGGGUGAAAAGCCCGCUCGCCGGAAGACCAAGGGUUCCUGUCCAACGUUAAUCGGGGCAGGGUGAGUCGACCCCUAAGGCGAGGCCGAAAGGCGUAGUCGAUGGGAAACGGGUUUAAUAUUCCCGUACUUGGUGUUACUGCGAAGGGGGGACGGAGAAGGCUAUGUUGGCCGGGCGACGGUUGUCCCGGUUUAAGCGUGUAGGCUGGUUUUCCAGGCAAAUCCGGAAAAUCAAGGCUGAGGCGUGAUGACGAGGCACUACGGUGCUGAAGCAACAAAUGCCCUGCUUCCAGGAAAAGCCUCUAAGCAUCAGGUAACAUCAAAUCGUACCCCAAACCGACACAGGUGGUCAGGUAGAGAAUACCAAGGCGCUUGAGAGAACUCGGGUGAAGGAACUAGGCAAAAUGGUGCCGUAACUUCGGGAGAAGGCACGCUGACACGUAGGUGAAGUGAUUUACUCAUGGAGCUGAAGUCAGUCGAAGAUACCAGCUGGCUGCAACUGUUUAUUAAAAACACAGCACUGUGCAAACACGAAAGUGGACGUAUACGGUGUGACGCCUGCCCGGUGCCGGAAGGUUAAUUGAUGGGGUCAGCGCAAGCGAAGCUCCUGAUCGAAGCCCGGUAAACGGCGGCCGUAACUAUAACGGUCCUAAGGUAGCGAAAUUCCUUGUCGGGUAAGUUCCGACCUGCACGAAUGGCGUAAUGAUGGCCAGGCUGUCUCCACCCGAGACUCAGUGAAAUUGAACUCGCUGUGAAGAUGCAGUGUACCCGCGGCAAGACGGAAAGACCCCGUGAACCUUUACUAUAGCUUGACACUGAACAUUGAGCCUUGAUGUGUAGGAUAGGUGGGAGGCUUUGAAGUGUGGACGCCAGUCUGCAUGGAGCCGACCUUGAAAUACCACCCUUUAAUGUUUGAUGUUCUAACGUGGACCCGUGAUCCGGGUUGCGGACAGUGUCUGGUGGGUAGUUUGACUGGGGCGGUCUCCUCCUAAAGAGUAACGGAGGAGCACGAAGGUUGGCUAAUCCUGGUCGGACAUCAGGAGGUUAGUGCAAUGGCAUAAGCCAGCUUGACUGCGAGCGUGACGGCGCGAGCAGGUGCGAAAGCAGGUCAUAGUGAUCCGGUGGUUCUGAAUGGAAGGGCCAUCGCUCAACGGAUAAAAGGUACUCCGGGGAUAACAGGCUGAUACCGCCCAAGAGUUCAUAUCGACGGCGGUGUUUGGCACCUCGAUGUCGGCUCAUCACAUCCUGGGGCUGAAGUAGGUCCCAAGGGUAUGGCUGUUCGCCAUUUAAAGUGGUACGCGAGCUGGGUUUAGAACGUCGUGAGACAGUUCGGUCCCUAUCUGCCGUGGGCGCUGGAGAACUGAGGGGGGCUGCUCCUAGUACGAGAGGACCGGAGUGGACGCAUCACUGGUGUUCGGGUUGUCAUGCCAAUGGCACUGCCCGGUAGCUAAAUGCGGAAGAGAUAAGUGCUGAAAGCAUCUAAGCACGAAACUUGCCCCGAGAUGAGUUCUCCCUGAGACUUUAAGUCUCCUGAAGGAACGUUGAAGACGACGACGUUGAUAGGCCGGGUGUGUAAGCGCAGCGAUGCGUUGAGCUAACCGGUACUAAUGAACCGUGAGGCUUAACCUU
rnacentral:rRNA from 1 species